rnacentral:rRNA from 1 species
AGUGAACGCUGGCGGCAGGCCUAACACAUGCAAGUCGAGCGGCAGCGCGGGGGCAACCCUGGCGGCGAGCGGCGGACGGGUGAGGAAUUCGUCGGAAUCUGCCUUUUUGUGGGGGAUAACGUAGGGAAACUUACGCUAAUACCGCAUACGUCCUACGGGAGAAAGUGGGGGACCGCAAGGCCUCACGCAGAAAGAUGAGCCGACGACCGAUUAGCUAGUUGGUGGGGUAAAGGCCCACCAAGGCGACGAUCGGUAGCUGGUCUGAGAGGAUGAUCAGCCACACUGGAACUGAGACACGGCCCAGACUCCUACGGGAGGCAGCAGUGGGGAAUAUUGGACAAUGGGCGCAAGCCUGAUCCAGCCAGGCCGCGUGUGUGAAGAAGGCCUUCGGGUUGUAAAGCACUUUUGUCCGGAAAGAAAUCCCUGGAGCUAAUACCUUCGGGGGAUGACGGUACCGGAAGAAUAAGCACCGGCUAACUUCGUG